rnacentral:misc_RNA from 1 species
GAAAUGCGAUAAGUAAUGUGAAUUGCAGAAUUCAGUGAAUCAUCGAAUCUUUGAACGCACAUUGCGCCCGCCAGUAUUCUGGCGGGCAUGCCUGUCCGAGCGUCAUUUCAACCAUCAAGCCCCCGGGCUUGUGUUGGGGACCUGCGGCUGCCCGCAGGCCCUGAAAACCAGUGGCGGGCUCGCUGUCACACCGAGCGUAGUAGCAAUCACCUCGCUCAGGGCGUGCUGCGGGUUCCGGCCGUUAAACAGCCUUACAAAACCCAAGGUUGACCGCGGAUCAGGUAGGAAGACCCGCUGAACUUAAGC